rnacentral:rRNA from 1 species
GCAGGCUGCAACCCGCCUGCGUGAAGUUGGAAUCGCUAGUAAUCGCGGAUCAGCAUGCCGCGGUGAAUACGUUCCCGGGUCUUGUACACACCGCCCGUCACACCAUGGGAGCUGGUAACACCCGAAGUCAGUAGUCUAACCGCAAGGAGGACGCUGCCGAAGGUGGGAUUAGCGACUGGGGUGAAGUCGUAACAAGGUAAC